GAUGAACGCUGGCGGCGUGCUUAACACAUGCAAGUCGAACGGAAAGGCCCAAGCUUGCUUGGGUCCUCGAGUGGCGAACGGGUGAGUAACACGUGGGUGAUCUGCCCUGCACUUCGGGAUAAGCCUGGGAAACUGGGUCUAAUACCGGAUAGGACCACAUUCUGGAUGGUGUGGUGGAAAGUUUUUCGGUGUGGGAUGAGCUCGCGGCCUAUCAGCUUGUUGGUGGGGUAAUGGCCUACCAAGGCGUCGACGGGUAGCCGGCCUGAGAGGGUGUACGGCCACAUUGGGACUGAGAUACGGCCCAGACUCCUACGGGAGGCAGCAGUGGGGAAUAUUGCACAAUGGGCGCAAGCCUGAUGCAGCGACGCCGCGUGGGGGAUGACGGCCUUCGGGUUGUAAACUCCUUUCGCUAGGGACGAAGCGCAAGUGACGGUACCUGGAGAAGAAGCACCGGCUAACUACGUG
rnacentral:rRNA from 1 species